AACGAACGCUGGCGGCAUGCCUAACACAUGCAAGCCGAACGAGACCUUCGGGUCUAGUGGCGCACGGGUGCGUAACGCGUGGGAACCUGCCCUUAGGUUCGGAAUAACUCCCCGAAAGGGGUGCUAAUACCGGAUAAUGUCUUCGGACCAAAGAUUUAUCGCCUUUGGAUGGGCCCGCGUUGGAUUAGCUAGUUGGUAGGGUAAAAGCCUACCAAGGCGACGAUCCAUAGCUGGUCUAAGAGGAUGAUCAGCCACACUGGGACUGAGACACGGCCCAGACUCCUACGGGAGGCAGCAGUGGGGAAUAUUGGACAAUGGGCGAAAGCCUGAUCCAGCAAUGCCGCGUGAGUGAUGAAGGCCUUAGGGUUGUAAAGCUCUUUUACCCGGGAUGAUAAUGACAGUACCGGGAGAAUAAGCUCCGGCUAACUCCGUG
rnacentral:rRNA from 1 species